rnacentral:rRNA from 1 species
ACAUGCAAGUCGAACGAAGGCCCGGAGCUUGCUCCGGAUCCCUUAGUGGCGAACGGGUGAGUAUCGCGUGGGAAUCUACCUAGAAGUGGGGAAUAACUGUUGGAAACGACAGCUAAUACCGCAUAAUCCCUUCGGGGCAAAGGCUUCGGCCGCUUUUAGAUGAGCCCGCGUUAGAUUAGGCUGUUGGUGAGGUAAUGGCUCACCAAACCUACAAUCUAUAGCUGGUCUGAGAGGAUGAUCAGCCACACUGGGACUGAGACACGGCCCAGACUCCUACGGGAGGCAGCAGUGGGGAAUAUUGGACAAUGGGGGAAACCCUGAUCCAGCAAUGCCGCGUGAGUGAUGAAGGCCUUAGGGUUGUAAAACUCUUUCAGAAGUGAAGAUGAUGACGGUAACU